AUGCAGACUUCCAGCGAGGCUCAGCCUGCAGUGGCUCUGUCCUUUCCUGUAGAGUCUGCUAGAGAGAUAUGAGGCUUGUUUGAGGCCCUGCUGUGGCUCUUCACGGCAGGGUUAUAGGUAAACCUCAGACAGAC